UGCAAAACAUGUCCCGGAAUU
rnacentral:piRNA from 1 species